rnacentral:lncRNA from 1 species
CUCCAUUUAAAAAAAAAAAAAUAUAUAUAUAUAUAUAUAUAUAUAUAUAUAUAUGUACAUGUAGAUAUAUAUAUAUAUACAUACACACAUACAUAUAUACACAACACACUUUUCUUUAUAACUCAAAAUUAUAAUUUAUGAAUAUAUAGAGAGUAGACUACAAAAAUUAUGAGAAACCUAUUGUAAUGACAACCUCAGAGAGGA